UAGUAUAAGCACUUGUACUGUGAAACUGCGAAUGGCUCAUUAAAUCAGUUAUCGUUUAUUUGAUAGUACCUUACUACAUGGAUACCUGUGGUAAUUCUAGAGCUAAUACAUGCUAAAAACCCCGACUUCAGGAAGGGGUGUAUUUAUUAGAUAAAAAACCAACGCCCUUCGGGGCUCCUUGGUGAAUCAUAAUAACUUAACGAAUCGCAUGGCCUUGCGCCGGCGAUGGUUCAUUCAAAUUUCUGCCCUAUCAACUUUCGAUGGUAGGAUAGUGGCCUACCAUGGUGGCAACGGGUAACGGGGAAUUAGGGUUCGAUUCCGGAGAGGGAGCCUGAGAAACGGCUACCACAUCCAAGGAAGGCAGCAGGCGCGCAAAUUACCCAAUCCCGAUACGGGGAGGUAGUGACAAUAAAUACUGAUACGGGGCUCUUUUGGGUCUCGUAAUUGGAAUGAGAACAAUUUAAAUCCCUUAACGAGGAACAAUUGGAGGGCAAGUCUGGGCGAGGC
rnacentral:rRNA from 1 species